rnacentral:tRNA from 1 species
GACCUUGUGGCGCAAAGCUAGCGCGUCUGACUCCAGAUCAGAAGGCUCCAUGUUCAAAUGUCAAAGUCG